GAUGAACGCUGGCGGUAUGCCUAACACAUGCAAGUCGAACGAAGUCUUCGGACUUAGUGGCGGACGGGUGAGUAACGCGUGAGAAUCUGCCUACAGAUUGGGGAUAACGUCGGGAAACUGACGCUAAUACCGAAUAUGCCGAGAGGUAAAAGAUUUAUUGUCUGUAGAUGAGCUCGCGUCUGAUUAGCUAGUUGGUGGGGUAAAGGCCUACCAAGGCGACGAUCAGUAACUGGUCUGAGAGGAUGACCAGUCACACUGGGACUGAGACACGGCCCAGACUCCUACGGGAGGCAGCAGUGGGGAAUUUUCCGCAAUGGGCGAAAGCCUGACGGAGCAAUACCGCGUGAGGGACGAAGGCUUUUUGGGUCGUAAACCUCUUUUUCUCAAGGAAGAUAAUGACGGUACUUGAGGAAUAAGCAUCGGCUAACUCUGUGCCAGCAGCCGCGGUAAU
rnacentral:rRNA from 1 species